CCUACGGGUGGCAGCAGUGAGGAAUAUUGGUCAAUGGACGAGAGUCUGAACCAGCCAAGUAGCAUGAAGGAUGACUGCCCUAUGGGUUGUAGACUUCUUUUAUAUGGGAAUAAAACGUUCCACGUGUGGGAUUUUGUUUGUACCAUAUGAAUAAGGAUCGGCUAACUCCGUGCCAGCAGCCGCGGUAAUACGGGGGAUGCGCGCGUUAUCCGGUUUUAUUGGGUUUAACGGGUGCGUGGGCGGAUCGUUAAGUCAGUGGUCAAAGUGAGGGGCUCAACCUCUUCCCGCCAGUGAAACUGGCGUUCAUGAGUGGAAGAGAAGUAUGCGGAAUGCGUGGUGUAGCGGUGAAAUGCAUAGAUAUCACGCAGAACCCCGAUUGCGAAGGCAGCAUGCCGGCUUCCGACUGACGCUGAAGCACGAAAGCGUGGGGAUCGAACAGGAUUAGAUACCCCAGUAGUC
rnacentral:rRNA from 1 species